rnacentral:rRNA from 1 species
UACGUAGGGUGCGAGCGUUGUCCGGAAUUAUUGGGCGUAAAGAGCUUGUAGGCGGUUUGUCGCGUCUGCCGUGAAAACCCGGGGCUCAACUCCGGGCUUGCGGGCGAUACGGGCAGGCUAGAGUUCGGUAGGGGAGACUGGAAUUCCUGGUGUAGCGGUGAAAUGCGCAGAUAUCAGGAGGAACACCGGUGGCGAAGGCGGGUCUCUGGGCCGAUACUGACGCUGAGGAGCGAAAGCGUGGGGAGCGAACAGG